UGAGUUCCAGGCCAGUGGGACUACA
rnacentral:misc_RNA from 1 species